GAGCGGACAGAUGGGAGCUUGCUCCCUGAUGUUAGCGGCGGACGGGUGAGUAACACGUGGGUAACCUGCCUGUAAGACUGGGAUAACUCCGGGAAACCGGGGCUAAUACCGGAUGGUUGUCUGAACCGCAUGGUUCAGACAUAAAAGGUGGCUUCGGCUACCACUUACAGAUGGACCCGCGGCGCAUUAGCUAGUUGGUGAGGUAACGGCUCACCAAGGCGACGAUGCGUAGCCGACCUGAGAGGGUGAUCGGCCACACUGGGACUGAGACACGGCCCAGACUCCUACGGGAGGCAGCAGUAGGGAAUCUUCCGCAAUGGACGAAAGUCUGACGGAGCAACGCCGCGUGAGUGAUGAAGGUUUUCGGAUCGUAAAGCUCUGUUGUUAGGGAAGAACAAGUGCCGUUCAAAUAGGGCGGCACCUUGACGGUACCUAACCAGAAAGCCACGGCUAACUACGUGCCAGCAGCCGCGGUAAUACGUAGGUGGCAAGCGUUGUCCGAAAUUAUUGGGCGUAAAGGGCUCGCAGGCGGUUUCUUAAGUCUGAUGUGAAAGCCCCCGGCUCAACCGGGGAGGGUCAUUGGAAACUGGGGAACUUGAGUGCAGAAGAGGAGAGUGGAAUUCCACGUGUAUCGGUGAAAUGCGUAUAGAUGUGGAGGAACACCAGUGGCGAAGGCGA
rnacentral:rRNA from 1 species